rnacentral:lncRNA from 1 species
CCUUAACACUUAUGAGUGUUAAAGCGUAUUGAGACGGGAAGGGUUUUGGAGGAAUUCGAGCUAGAUUGGAGGGCUGGUUACAUCUGGAGAGGGGAUUCAGGGCGACCAAGUGAGUGCAUUGAGAAGUACCUGAUGCGCUCGAAGGCGCUGCGGUUCUCUUUCAAGGUCCACUGGUCCUCAGCGCCCGAAGCAUAGUAGUCAUAGACCAUCUUCGGCAGCUUCUGCCUUGCGAGCUCCUCAUACUCGGUCACGUUGGUAACCUCGGCAAUCGACAUGGUGGAAGUCGUGAGAAAUUCGCCGGCUGUAUCCCUAGUGUGAUGCAGCCUUUCAACG